GACAGGUAGAAAGGAUGAAUAGAACAAUC
rnacentral:piRNA from 1 species